rnacentral:rRNA from 1 species
CCUGGCUCAGAUUGAACGCUGGCGGCAUGCCUUACACAUGCAAGUCGAACGGCAGCGGACCUUCGGGUGCCGGCGAGUGGCGAACGGGUGAGUAAUAUAUCGGAACGUACCUUUCAGUGGGGGAUAACGUAGCGAAAGUUACGCUAAUACCGCAUAUUCUGUGAGCAGGAAAGCAGGGGAUCGCAAGACCUUGCGCUGAUUGAGCGGCCGAUAUCAGAUUAGCUAGUUGGUGAGGUAAAGGCUCACCAAGGCGACGAUCUGUAGCGGGUCUGAGAGGAUGAUCCGCCACACUGGAACUGAGACACGGUCCAGACUCCUACGGGAGGCGGCAGUGGGGAAUUUUGGACAAUGGGCGCAAGCCUGAUCCAGCCAUGCCGCGUGAGUGAAGAAGGCCUUCGGGUUGUAAAGCUCUUUCGGCCGGGAAGAAAUCGCACAGGUUAAUACCCUGUGUGGAUGACGGUACCGGAAUAAGAAGCACCGGCUAACUACGUG